rnacentral:misc_RNA from 1 species
UUAUGGUUCUCAUAGAAACGAGUACGAUCACUCCCAAAACUAAUAUUCCUCAACACAAGACACAAUUUGCAUCACUUAUUUCGUUUUGAAUUCGUUGUUGAUAUAAAUCAGCCCAGAAGGCAUAUUAUUAUAAUACAUUACUGACACGAAUCAAGCUGUAACUGAUUGGAAUAUCUUCUUGUUAAUUUUAAUUUAUAUUAAACGUGAAUGGAAAAUUUAAAAAUCUUACUUUGGUUUCUUGACGAGAACUUUUCAUAUUUCCCAUCGACCACUCUCGAAGCAUUCAGCGUAAUCUCUGAGAGAGUACAAGACAUUUUUACAACUAAUUUAUAAAAAAGGCAAAU